AUUGAACGCUGGCGGCAUGCUUUACACAUGCAAGUCGAACGGUAACAGGCCUUCGGGUGCUGACGAGUGGCGAACGGGUGAGUAAUGCAUCGGAACGUGCCCAGAGGUGGGGGAUAACGCAGCGAAAGCUGUGCUAAUACCGCAUGUGAUCUGAGGAUGAAAGCGGGGGACCAGGCAGCAAUGUUUGGCCUCGCGCCUUUGGAGCGGCCAAUGUCAGAUUAGGUAGUUGGUGGGGUAAAGGCCUACCAAGCCGACGAUCUGUAGCUGGUCUGAGAGGACGACCAGCCACACUGGGACUGAGACACGGCCCAGACUCCUACGGGAGGCAGCAGUGGGGAAUUUUGGACAAUGGGCGCAAGCCUGAUCCAGCAAUGCCGCGUGCGGGAAGAAGGCCUUCGGGUUGUAAACCGCUUUUGUACGGAACGAAAAGGCUCUGGCUAAUACCUGGGGCUGAUGACGGUACCGUAAGAAUAAGCACCGGCUAACUACGUG
rnacentral:rRNA from 1 species